rnacentral:rRNA from 1 species
AGAGUUUGAUCAUGGCUCAGAUUGAACGCUGGCGGCAGGCCUAACACAUGCAAGUCGAGCGGAAACGAGUUAUCUGAACCUUCGGGGAACGAUAACGGCGUCGAGCGGCGGACGGGUGAGUAAUGCCUAGGAAAUUGCCCUGAUGUGGGGGAUAACCAUUGGAAACGAUGGCUAAUACCGCAUAAUGCCUACGGGCCAAAGAGGGGGACCUUCGGGCCUCUCGCGUCAGGAUAUGCCUAGGUGGGAUUAGCUAGUUGGUGAGGUAAUGGCUCACCAAGGCGACGAUCCCUAGCUGGUCUGAGAGGAUGAUCAGCCACACUGGAACUGAGACACGGUCCAGACUCCUACGGGAGGCAGCAGUGGGGAAUAUUGCACAAUGGGCGCAAGCCUGAUGCAGCCAUGCCGCGUGUGUGAAGAAGGCCUUCGGGUUGUAAAGCACUUUCAGUCGUGAGGAAGGUAGUGUAGUUAAUAGCUGCAUUAUUUGACGUUAGCGACAGAAGAAGCACCGGCUAACUCCGUGCCAGCAGCCGCGGUAAUACGGAGGGUGCGAGCGUUAAUCGGAAUUACUGGGCGUAAAGCGCAUGCAGGUGGUUUGUUAAGUCAGAUGUGAAAGCCCGGGGCUCAACCUCGGAAUUGCAUUUGAAACUGGCAGACUAGAGUACUGUAGAGGGGGGUAGAAUUUCAGGUGUAGCGGUGAAAUGCGUAGAGAUCUGAAGGAAUACCGGUGGCGAAGGCGGCCCCCUGGACAGAUACUGACACUCAGAUGCGAAAGCGUGGGGAGCAAACAGGAUUAGAUACCCUGGUAGUCCACGCCGUAAACGAUGUCUACUUGGAGGUUGUGGCCUUGAGCCGUGGCUUUCGGAGCUAACGCGUUAAGUAGACCGCCUGGGGAGUACGGUCGCAAGAUUAAAACUCAAAUGAAUUGACGGGGGCCCGCACAAGCGGUGGAGCAUGUGGUUUAAUUCGAUGCAACGCGAAGAACCUUACCUACUCUUGACAUCCAGAGAACUU